rnacentral:tRNA from 1 species
GCCGGGUUAGCUCAGUUGGUUAGAGCAUGGUGCUAAUAACACCCAGUUCACAGGUUCAAUCCCUGCUCACUGCA